rnacentral:tmRNA from 2 species
GGGGGCGACAUGGUUUCGACGAGGAUUACAAAACUCAAGGUGCAUGCCGAGGUGUCAGCGAACCUCGUAAACACUAGCUGAAAAAACUUAGUUGCAAACGAUAACAACUACGCUUUAGCCGCUUAGGCUAACUGUUGCUGCCGAGCGUCACCGGUAGGUAGUUAACAGUCAUUCACGGAGACUCGCGGGUAAGGAUGUUUGUUCCCCAACCGUUAAAACUAAACAAACUCGUUUCUAGCAUCCUGUUAGUCGGAUCUGUUAGAGAUUAAGAUAUAGACUAACUAAGCAUGUAGUACCAAGAGCAGCGGAUUCGCGGACGGGGGUUCGAUCCCCCCCGCCUCCACCA